CCUACGGGAGGCAGCAGUGGGGAAUCUUGCGCAAUGGGCGAAAGCCUGACGCAGCCAUGCCGCGUGAAUGAUGAAGGUCUUAGGAUUGUAAAAUUCUUUCACCGGGGACGAUAAUGACGGUACCCGGAGAAGAAGCCCCGGCUAACUUCGUGCCAGCAGCCGCGGUAAUACGAAGGGGGCUAGCGUUGCUCGGAAUUACUGGGCGUAAAGGGAGCGUAGGCGGAUAGUUUAGUCAGAGGUGAAAGCCCAGGGCUCAACCUUGGAAUUGCCUUUGAUACUGGCUAUCUUGAGUAUGGGAGAGGUUAGCGGAACUCCGAGUGUAGAGGUGAAAUUCGUAGAUAUUCGGAAGAACACCAGUGGCGAAGGCGGCUAACUGGCCCAUUACUGACGCUGAGGCUCGAAAGCGUGGGGAGCGAAACAGGAUUAGAUACCCUGGUAGUCCACGCCGUAAACGAUGAGUGCUAGUUGUCGGCAUGCAUGCAUGUCGGUGACGCAGCUAACGCAUUAAGCACUCCGCCUGGGGAGUACGGUCGCAAGAUUAAAACUCAAAGGAAUUGACGG
rnacentral:rRNA from 1 species